rnacentral:rRNA from 1 species
AUUGAACGCUGGCGGCAGGCCUAACACAUGCAAGUCGAGCGAGCGGCGGACGGGGGAGUAAUGUAUGGGGACUGCCCGAUAGAGGGGGAAAACUACUGGAAACGGUAGCUAAUACCGCAUAAGAUCGGAUAAAACAUAUGGGAUUAGCUAGUAGAUGAGGUAAUGGCUCACCUAGGCGACGAUCCCUAGCUGGUCUGAGAGGAUGAACAGCCACACUGGGACUGAGACACGGCCCAGACUCCUACGGAGGCAGCAGUGGGGAAUAUUGCACAAUGGGCGCAAGCCUGAUGCAGCCAUGCCGCGUGUAUGAAGAAGGCCCUAGGUUUGUAAAGUACUUUCAGUCGGGAGGCGUUACCGACAGAAGAAGCACCGGCUAACUCCGUGCCAGCAGCCGCGGUAAUUC